AAUAGAUACCCCGGUAGUCCACGCCGUAAACGAUGUCGACUUGGAGGUUGUUCCCUUGAGGAGUGGCUUCCGGAGCUAACGCGUUAAGUCGACCGCCUGGGGAGUACGGCCGCAAGGUUAAAACUCAAAUGAAUUGACGGGGGCCCGCACAAGCGGUGGAGCAUGUGGUUUAAUUCGAUGCAACGCGAAGAACCUUACCUACUCUUGACAUCCACGGAACUUUUCAGAGAUGAAUUGGUGCCUUCGGGAACCGUGAGACAGGUGCUGCAUGGCUGUCGUCAGCUCGUGUUGUGAAAUGUUGGGUUAAGUCCCGCAACGAGCGCAACCCUUAUCCUUUGUUGCCAGCGGUCCGGCCGGGAACUCAAAGGAGACUGCCAGUGAUAAACUGGAGGAAGGUGGGGAUGACGUCAAGUCAUCAUGGCCCUUACGAGUAGGGCUACACACGUGCUACAAUGGCGCAUACAAAGAGAAGCGACCUCGCGAGAGCAAGCGGACCUCAUAAAGUGCGUCGUAGUCCGGAUUGGAGUCUGCAACUCGACU
rnacentral:rRNA from 1 species